rnacentral:rRNA from 1 species
UAGGGAAUCUUCGGCAAUGGGGGCAACCCUGACCGAGCAGCGCCGCGUGAGUGAAGAAGGUUUUCGGAUCGUAAAGCUCUGUUGUAAGUCAAGAACGAGUGUGAGAGUGGAAAGUUCACACUGUGACGGUAGCUUACCAGAAAGGGACGGCUAACUACGUGCCAGCAGCCGCGGUAAUACGUAGGUCCCGAGCGUUGUCCGGAUUUAUUGGGCGUAAAGCGAGCGCAGGCGGUUUGAUAAGUCUGAAGUUAAAGGCUGUGGCUCAACCAUAGUUCGCUUUGGAAACUGUCAAACUUGAGUGCAGAAGGGGAGAGUGGAAUUCCAUGUGUAGCGGUGAAAUGCGUAGAUAUAUGGAGGAACACCGGUGGCGAAAGCGGCUCUCUGGUCUGUAACUGACGCUGAGGCUCGAAAGCGUGGGGAGCGAACAGGAUUAGAUACCCUGGUAGUCCACGCCGUAAACGAUGAGUGCUAGGUGUUGGAUCCUUUCCGGGAUUCAGUGCCGCAGCUAACGCAUUAAGCACUCCGCCUGGGGAGUACGACCGCAAGGUUG